rnacentral:rRNA from 1 species
UGGGGAAUAUUGCACAAUGGGCGAAAGCCUGAUGCAGCAACGCCGCGUGAGCGAUGAAGGCCUUCGGGUCGUAAAGCUCUGUCCUCAAGGAAGAUAAUGACGGUACUUGAGGAGGAAGCCCCGGCUAACUACGUGCCAGCAGCCGCGGUAAUACGUAGGGGGCUAGCGUUAUCCGGAAUUAUUGGGCGUAAAGGGUGCGUAGGUGGUUUCUUAAGUCAGAGGUGAAAGGCUACGGCUCAACCGUAGUAAGCCUUUGAAACUGGGAAACUUGAGUGCAGGAGAGGAGAGUGGAAUUCCUAGUGUAGCGGUGAAAUGCGUAGAUAUUAGGAGGAAUACCAGUUGCGAAGGGGGCUCACUGGACUGUAACUGACACUGAGGCAAGAAAGCGUGGGGAGCAAACA